UACGGAGGGUGCAAGCGUUAAUCGGAAUUACUGGGCGUAAAGCGUGCGCAGGCGGUUUGUUAAGUCUGCUGUAAAAUCCCCGAGCUCAACUUGGGAAUUGCAAUGGAUACUGGCAGGCUGGAGUAUGGUAGAGGAAGGUGGAAUUCCCGGUGUAGCAGUGAAAUGCGUAGAGAUCGGGAGGAACACCAGUGGCGAAGGCGGCCUUCUGGACCAAUACUGACGCUCAUGCACGAAAGCGUGGGGAGCAAACAGG
rnacentral:rRNA from 1 species